UUGUUGGUUUAGCUCUGCAGCUGCUUCUCUCUAAAACUCGUUUCUUGAUUUUUUUUUUCUGACUCGAUCUUUUACACUGUGCUUGUAUCUCUGUAUUGGGUUUCUGUCAUUCUUUUCUGUGAGAUGAUGAUUUCGUCUUAUUAUCUGGUUCUUGCCCCUUUUCUUAACCAAGGCUCGUCUCUUUCUGUCUUCUCAUCUUGUAGAAAUGUUUAAUUUAUUUCUAACGAUCUGUAUUUUUUCUUAUUCUUGAUUUAGGAUCAGUGUGACUGUUUGAAAGCUACAGAGGAGGAAUCUAGAGAGAGUUUGGAAAGAAUCCAGAAAUCAAAUAAGGUUUCUCUCAGAGUCUCAGGAAUCGAAG
rnacentral:lncRNA from 1 species